GAGUUUGAUCAUGGCUCAGGAUGAACGCUAGCGGCAGGCCUAAUACAUGCAAGUCGGACGGGAUUCAGGGAGUAGCUUGCUACAAGCUGAUGAGAGUGGCGCACGGGUGCGUAACGCGUGAGCAACCUACCCAUAUCAGGGGGAUAGCCUCUCGAAAGAGAGAUUAACACCGCAUAACAUCAUUUACCGGCAUCGGUUUAUGAUCAAAUAUUUAUAGGAUAUGGAUGGGCUCGCGUGACAUUAGCUAGUUGGAGGGGUAACGGCCCACCAAGGCUACGAUGUCUAGGGGCUCUGAGAGGAGAAUCCCCCACACUGGUACUGAGACACGGACCAGACUCCUACGGGAGGCAGCAGUAAGGAAUAUUGGUCAAUGGAGGGAACUCUGAACCAGCCAUGCCGCGUGCAGGAUGACUGCCCUAUGGGUUGUAAACUGCUUUUGUCAGGGAAUAAACCUUUCUACGUGUAGGAAGCUGAAUGUACCUGAAGAAUAAGGAUCGGCUAACUCCGUGCCAGCAGCCG
rnacentral:rRNA from 1 species